rnacentral:rRNA from 1 species
CGGCAGCGCGGGGCAACCUGGCGGCGAGUGGCGAACGGGUGAGUAAUAUAUCGGAACGUACCCAAGAGUGGGGGAUAACGUAGCGAAAGUUACGCUAAUACCGCAUACGAUCUAAGGAUGAAAGCAGGGGACCGCAAGGCCUUGUGCUCCUGGAGCGGCCGAUAUCUGAUUAGCUAGUUGGUGGGGUAAAGGCCCACCAAGGCAUCGAUCAGUAGCUGGUCUGAGAGGACGACCAGCCACACUGGAACUGAGACACGGUCCAGACUCCUACGGGAGGCAGCAGUGGGGAAUUUUGGACAAUGGGCGCAAGCCUGAUCCAGCAAUGCCGCGUGAGUGAAGAAGGCCUUCGGGUUGUAAAGCUCUUUUGUCAGGGAAGAAACGGUGGCGGCUAAUAUCUGCCACUAAUGACGGUACCUGAAGAAUAAGCACCGGCUAACUACGUGCCAGCAGCCGCGGUAAUACGUAGGGUGCAAGCGUUAAUCGGAAUUACUGGGCGUAAAGCGUGCGCAGGCGGUUUUGUAAGUUUGUCGUGAAAUCCCCGGGCUCAACCUGGGAAUGGCGAUGAAGACUGCAAGGCUAGAGUUUGGCAGAGGGGGGUAGAAUUCCACGUGUAGCAGUGAAAUGCGUAGAUAUGUGGAGGAACACCGAUGGCGAAGGCAGCCCCCUGGGUCAAAACUGACGCUCAUGCACGAAAGCGUGGGGAGCAAACAGGAUUAGAUACCCUGGUAGUCCACGCCCUAAACGAUGUCUACUAGUUGUCGGGUCUUAAUUGACUUGGUAACGCAGCUAACGCGUGAAGUAGACCGCCUGGGGAGUACGGUCGCAAGAUUAAAACUCAAAGGAAUUGACGGGGACCCGCACAAGCGGUGGAUGAUGUGGAUUAAUUCGAUGCAACGCGAAAACCUUACCUACCCUUGACAUGGCUGGAAUCCCC